GACGAACGCUGGCGGCGUGCUUAACACAUGCAAGUCGAACGAUGAAGCCGGAGCUUGCUCUGGUGAAUUAGUGGCGAACGGGUGAGUAACACGUGAGUAACCUGCCCUUGACUCUGGGAUAACUGCGGGAAACUGUAGCUAAUACCGGAUACGACCCUCGGAGGCAUCUCCUGGGGGUGGAAAGAAUUUCGGUCAAGGAUGGACUCGCGGCCUAUCAGCUAGUUGGUGAGGUAAAGGCUCACCAAGGCGACGACGGGUAGCCGGCCUGAGAGGGUGACCGGCCACACUGGGACGGCGACACGGCCCAGACUCCUACGGGAGGCAGCAGUGGGGAAUAUUGCACAAUGGGCGCAAGCCUGAUGCAGCAACGCCGCGUGAGGGAUGACGGCCUUCGGGUUGUAAACCUCUUUUAGCAGGGAAGAAGCGAAAGUGACGGUACCUGCAGAAAAAGCACCGGCUAACUACGUGCCAGCCGCCGCGGUAA
rnacentral:rRNA from 1 species